CCACCACCCUACCCUGCAGGAUGCUCCAGUCCCAUGCUUGGCAGGCAGCCUGCUGUGCAGUCGCUGGCACCGGCCCUGUAGGACACCAGUCUCCACAUCACCCCAAGGCUCCAGGCGGUCAGAUCUGGAGGAAACAGGAAGAAUGAUGAUGUCACUGUGCCUUUGACGAUCCUGGAGCUUCUCUGUGCUCUUGAGAGGGAUCUGUGGGUUCAAUCCUCCGUGCUGGGGGACCUGGAUCCCAGCAAAGGUGAAUCGUGCAGAACCCAGAGCGAGUACCGGAUGGAUCAGCAUGGAGUAGGAAACAAAGACGAGGCGUGCUGGGGUAGAAUUGCCUCCAACUGGCAUUUCCUGUAAUUGGCCCUGAUGGUCACCCAACCCUGUGGGCUGAGACCAACACCCCGAGUGCUGCUGAUUUCGGUGAAAUUGAACAGCUUUCCUGAGACCACAAACCAGCUGAGGAGAGACCGCUCGGACAGUGGGGGUGGGCCCAGAUGGACUGAAUGGAGGCGUCACUGGGUUCUGGGUCAGAAGCCAGCACAAACCAACCCUGGUGUUCUGAACCGCAAACCAUUGCCUGAGGUUCUGAAGAGGGACUGGGCUGAGAUGUUCAAUCGACUGCUGCCCCUUCCCACCGUGCACACCCCCACCCCUAACUCCAUAUCCCACCUCUGAGGUACUUAGCCAUCACCCGGGCCUCCGUGAGCCCUAAGUUUGGA